rnacentral:tRNA from 1 species
GCCGGCGUGGUGGAAUGGUAGACACGAUAGACUCAAAAUCUAUUGCGGGCAACCGUGUAUGAGUUCAAGUCUCAUCGCCGGUA